rnacentral:rRNA from 1 species
CGGCGGACGGGUGAGUAACACGUGGGUAACCUACCUAUAAGACUGGGACAACUUCGGGAAACCGGAGCUAAUACCGGAUAAGAUAUCGAACCGCAUGGUUCGAUAGUGAAAGANGGUUUUGCUAUCACUUAUAGAUGGACCCGCGCCGUAUUAGCUAGUUGGUGAGGUAACGGCUCACCAAGGCAACGAUACGUAGCCGACCUGAGAGGGUGAUCGGCCACACUGGAACUGAGACACGGUCCAGACUCCUACGGGAGGCAGCAGGU